GACGAACGCUGGCGGCGUGCCUAAUACAUGCAAGUCGAACGGUCUUUUCUAUGGAAGCUUGCUUCCGCUGAGAAGAUAGUGGCGAACGGGUGAGUAACACGUGGGUAACCUGCCCAUAAGAGGGGGAUAACAUCCGGAAACGGGUGCUAAUACCGCAUAGUUUUCUUGAUCGCAUGAUUGAGAAAGGAAAGACGGCCUUUGUGCUGUCGCUUAUGGAUGGACCCGCGGCGUAUUAGUUAGUUGGUAGGGUAACGGCUCACCAAGACGAUAAUACGUAGCCGACCUGAGAGGGUGAUCGGCCACAUUGGGACUGAGACACGGCCCAAACUCCUACGGGAGGCAGCAGUAGGGAAUCUUCCGCAAUGGACGAAAGUCUGACGGAGCAACGCCGCGUGAGUGAAGAAGGUUUUCGGAUCGUAAAACUCUGUUGUCAGAGAAGAACAAGUCGGAGAGUAACUGCUCCGGCCUUGACGGUAUCUGACCAGAAAGCCACGGCUAACUACGUGCCAGCCGCCGCCGUAACAC
rnacentral:rRNA from 1 species